rnacentral:rRNA from 1 species
UACGGAGGGUGCGAGCGUUGUCCGGAAUUAUUGGGCGUAAAGAGCUUGUAGGCGGUUUGUCGCGUCUGCUGUGAAAAUCCGGGGCUCAACUCCGGACUUGCAGUGGGUACGGGCAGGCUAGAGUGUGGUAGGGGAGACUGGAAUUCCUGGUGUAGCGGUGGAAUGCGCAGAUAUCAGGAGGAACACCGAUGGCGAAGGCAGGUCUCUGGGCCACUACUGACGCUGAGAAGCGAAAGCAUGGGGAGCGAACAGG